UACGUAGGGGGCAAGCGUUGUCCGGAAUUAUUGGGCGUAAAGAGCGUGUAGGCGGUCCGGUAAGUCAGCUGUGAAAGUCAAGGGCUCAACCCUUGAAUGCCGGUUGAUACUGUCGGGCUAGAGUCCGGAAGAGGCGAGUGGAAUUCCCGGUGUAGCGGUGAAAUGCGCAGAUAUCGAGAGGAACACCAAUGGCGAAGGCAGCUCGCUGGGACGGUACUGACGCUGAGACGCGAAAGCGUGGGGAGCAAACAGG
rnacentral:rRNA from 1 species